GGCUCGUUGGUCUAGGAGUAUGAUUCUCGCUUUGGGUGCGAGAGGCCUCGGGUUCAAAUCCCGGACGAGCCC
rnacentral:tRNA from 1 species